UGACAAGAUUUUCUUCUUUUUUAAGACUGAAUAGUAUUCCAUUGUCUACAUGUACCACAUUUUCUUUAUCUAUUCAUCUGUUGAUGGACACAAGUUGAUUCCACAUCUUGGCUAUUGUGGACAGCACUGCCAUGAACAUAGGAGUCCAGAUAUCCUUUGGACAUAUUGAUUUCAAUUCUUUUGGACUAAUACCCAGAAGAGGGUUUGACUGACAUAUGAUAGUUCUAUUUUUAGUUUUUUGAGGAACUUCCAUUCAGUUUCCCAUAAUGGCUGUGAGUCUGGAGUUUGUUCCUGCCGGUGGGUUCGUGGUCUCGCUGACUUCAAGAAUGAAGCUGCAGACGUUCGUGGUAAAAAGCUGAAGCACCAGAUGGUUAAAAGGACUGUUCAAGACAGCCUUGCAAUUUUGACCAAGGAAGAAAGCUGAAGAGUGCUAGGGCAAGAGAGGAACUACGUCCAGAACAAUUCAUAAUUCCAAAUUCUCACUUCCAUGAUUUCAAUGCUGAAUGUGUACUUCUCUAGCUAAAAAUACAAUUGCUUAAGUAAAAUCAUCAUUAUUUAC
rnacentral:lncRNA from 1 species